GACCAUACUAGCUGGGCGGGGAACCCACUGCUGAUGGUUCACCAUACGCAGCUGGGAUUUCCCUCCCCGCCUUCCUUGUGCUAAAUGGUCAAUUAGGCAUGAUGUUGAUGGGGGCCCCACCUGGGAAUGGAGGUAUAUAGUAGCCUUGGAGUGGCUGGUGGUUCAUUUGCUUGACUCAACCACUAAGAACAACACAUCUGAUCCUGCACACAGGUCACCCUCCCUUGUUGGGAGCCUAGUCACCAUUUUAUGGUACACUAUGCACUUUACGUGCACACAUAACAUUUUGGAUCAGGCUGUGACCACCGUGUCUUACUCCAGGCACUGUUCCUCGUUCUCAUGGGUUCCCCGUCUCAACCCCGGGGGAGACAUCCUGCCCGGACCCCCCUUCUUUCCUUGGCAGAUACCGGACCGGGUCUUGUGGUGGCAUAUAUACUGUCCUAAAAACACUCCUGAUGAUUGGCUGAAAUGCCAGGAAACGCGUAGAGUGCCCCCAGAUGCCAACAAUCACCUGUUCAUAUUCCACAUACUUACCGAUUUUACUACAUAUAUCUGCCAUGUCUAUGAUUUUAUUUCUGUAUUUCAUGCUAUGUAGCAGCAUAUCUAGAGUAAGCCUUGUGACUACCUAUUUAUUUAAUACAAAAUAUUUGACAUGUA